AGCAGCCGCGGUAAUUCCAGCUCCAAUAGCGUAUAUUAAAGUUGUUGCAGUUAAAAAGCUCGUAGUUGAAUUUCGUGAUCGACAGGUUGGUCGCGCCUUCGGUGUGUACUGGCCUAGUCGGUUUCUCCCUUCUGACGAACCACGAUGUCAUUAAUUUGGUGUCGUGGGAAAUCAGGACUGUUACUUUGAAAAAUUAGAGUGUCUAAAGCAGGCAUUAGCUUGAAUACAUUAGCAUGGAAUAAUGAAAUAGGACGUUUGAUCCUAUUUUGUUGGUUUCUAGGAUCGACGUAAUGAUUAAUAGGGAUAGUUGGAGGCAUUAGUAUUCAAUUGUCAGAGGUGAAAUUCUUGGAUUUUAUUGAAGACUAACUACUGCGAAAGCAUUUGCCAAGGAUG
rnacentral:rRNA from 1 species